CGCAAACGGGUGAUGCCAACAGCACCUCCAUCUGCUGAAGGUCGCUGCCAUGCCAGGCUCUGCACACAACACUGUACACACCACCUCCCUCAGUCCCCACUGGAACAUGGUCCCCACUGCAGGGAUGAGGAAACAAAAGGCCAGACGAGACAGGAGCCAGGAUGGCCAGGUUCUUCUCGGAGAUAAUCCUGCCUCCGAGGACCCCGGAUCGUUAGAUGGGAAAGCCAUGCCCAGGGAGGCCAGCCUGAGUCCCCACACCCAGAGGCACCCCG
rnacentral:lncRNA from 1 species